UGUUGCUUUCGAAACCCGCAUUGGAAUUUCGAAAGCAACUCUUGCUGUUCGAGGUGAAACGAUAAACGUUUGGAGACCAUCCUUUCCAAAAGCUUGCCUAUGCAGCUUGUCAUGGCUAUAGGACGAUAACUGUUUGCGUUAUGCCUAGCUUUACCUGGUUUUAAUAGAGUUACAACUAUACUUUCUUUCCAAUGCUCUGGGAAGACCUGCUUGCAGAACAGAUCAUUAAACGUCUGAAGAAUGAAAAGCUUCGAGUUCUCCGAAAGAUGGCGGAAGAAAGAAUAAUGAAGUUUGUCAGGCCCCACGGAAGUAUUUCCGGCGGAACCGAUGGCCUCAUUUAAUUCCUGUGCUGUGAAGGGAACAUUGUAGUAUUCGUUGUUAUCUGAGAGAAAAGUAUCUGGGUCAGGCAAAAAUCGUUGACGAGCCCUACCUAUAAACUGUGGUUGGUAGCGUUCAUUUGAGCUCGUGAAAGCAACUUGUUGAGCUAAACAGUUUACGACAUCAUUUGGUUCACUAAUGGUGUUGGCUGUUCCCGGAAGCCUAAGCACCGGGAAAUUUGCAGCUGUGCGUUUUCCGGAUAAACGACGAACUAAAUCCCAAAUCUUGCAUAAAGGCGUCGAAGAAGUAAAUGAAGACAAAAAUCGGGUCCAGGAGUCGCGCUUGGCUGCCCGAAUAGUUCGCUGAGCGUUUGC